ensembl:snoRNA
AGCCUCAUUCUACUGAAAAUGGGCACUUGUUCAUGGUGUCCAUAAACUGUUAAUGUGGCUACAUUGAGAACACAGGUUUUGCUUCCAUCCCUGUAGUUUUAUUGCAGUGGUGACAAUGAGACCUGUAACAUUU